GGUGGGCGUCGGGAGUCCAGUUGGUUGGCUUCAGCCUUUGAGGUGCUGCCGGCUAGCGGUGCCGCUUCUGAGUGUCUCCUCGUCUCACUCCCUUGGCACCUUCGGCCGGUUCAAGUGAAGUGCCACCUGUGAAGUUGAUUGACAAGGGAGUUGAAUGAAUCCACUUAUUAGCACCUUGCUUGCUCUUCUUUCUUUUUGGAGCCAAAAGAUCCAUCGGCGCUCCACUACUGGGCUUUGAUUUGAAGAGACUGCUGGGAAAGGCUAUCUCGGUCAUCUUCCAUCUGAUACAUAGGUCAAACCAGGACUCACACACUCUCUCGCCGAUAUUUCCCUUCGCUCCCGUGAAUACAUCGUCUUCUACGCAUGGCGCCGCCGCCUUGGAUCGGCCCUCCGUCGCGUCGCUUCGGUCGUCACCACGCAUCUCAGCUCCAAUAACCAGGUCGUGAUGGCUGACAACGAGCUCCAGGUUCAUGGCUCACCAGGCUCCACUGGCUCCACAAACAGCUGUCUGCAGGCACUUGCACAGGUCAGCUGAGAUGCGUCACGUCCCCUCUGGUUUAUCUAGACGGCUGCAAAAGUAUGGUCAGAAAUUAAAGAGGGGAGCCAAAUGAGAGCACGGCUUAGAAAUAGCCAGGGUAGUCCAAGGUCGAAUCCUGGAAAAUUUGACAAUGGAUUCAGUUAGUAUACAAAUAUGCACAUUGAAUUAAUAUAA